UCCUCACAGCGGUGCUCAGUCCCCCCAGCCUGAUGCUCAGCCCUCGUCUCCCCUCAGCACCAGAUGCCACCCUGGGCGCAGGCAGGCGGGCAGCAGACAGACUCCCCGCCAUUAAGGGCGCUGCGGAUUUACCUCCCCUGGGGGCAGGCCAGGAGCGGAGGGAGCCUGCACCCGGACCAGGAGCAGUGCCGGGGGGAAGUGGAGGGGUGGGGGAGACCCUCCCAGCUGUGCGGGGCAGCUCUGCCAGGGCCGAGAUGUGGCCGGACCCUCCCGCUGCCGCGGAGAAACCCCGUGGCAGGCAGCGCCGUCAGCAGGUGAGCGGGACCCAGGCGGGCU